CUCAGGUGCAUCACAGUCUAGCAACCAUAAUAAUGUACAAGUUGUUCCUUUGAGCUGCAACCCACAUGAUAGAUAGUGUCUGUAAUAGCAUAUGUGUAACAUUUCUGACACAACUAGUUAUAUUAGGCUAGUCAGCUGUUCUCUGUCAGCACCUUUAGUACUUGCCUCAGGAUGCUUACAAUUAAUCCUGAAGAUGUUUGGCUACAUCCUCAGAAAAUGACUUUUAAUGAAUGACAGGGUUGACUCAAUGCCACCUUAGCCCCAGG